rnacentral:rRNA from 1 species
UGCCAGCCGCCGCGGUAAUACGGAGGGUGCAAGCGUUGUUCGGAAUUACUGGGCGUAAAGCGCGCGUAGGCGGCUUUUUAAGUCAGAUGUGAAAGUCCACGGCUCAACCGUGGAAGUGCAUUUGAAACUGGGAGGCUUGAGUAUGUAAGAGGAUAGAGGAAUUCCCGGUGUAGCGGUGAAAUGCGUAGAUAUCGGGAGGAACAUCAGUGGCGAAGGCGUCUAUCUGGUAUAAUACUGACACUGAGGAGCGAAAGCGUGGGUAGCGAACAGGAUUAGAUA